CCCACUCUUCCUCCCCUCGCGCCGCCACUCUUCUUCCCCUCUCCCUUUUCUUCUCUGUGAACAACGGAGACAACCACCGUGAGCUCCUUGCCAUGGCGCCGUCGCAGGAGGCCACCCCGAGCCCAUCCAAGACCACCGUUCGAUGCGCACCGUCGUCCUCUACCACCUCCUGCAAGGAAUCGUCUCGAGGCCCCUUCAAUCGAGCGUAGUUCGCCGUUCCUUUCUCCGUCUCCGGCGCGGUUUUUCACCGAUUCCGGCCAACCUCGGCCUCCUCCGGCAACACCGAGCACACCUACGCCUUCCUGAUCGUCGCCGCCGGCGAAGCUCCGGUGGCUCCCAGGUGCCCGCUCCGCCACUUCCUGGUUCGCCACGACGAGGCGCAUCCCCGACGCCCACCCUCGCUUCCUGGAACCCACCGAGGCGCCCGCGCGCAACGAACCUGAGUCGCAGGUGAUCACCACCGUCGCGCGCCAUGGUCGCCACGUCGUCUCCACGUCGUCCGCCACGCGGCGUCCACGUCGACCCGCGGGCCCAGCCGUCAGCGCCCCGGGCUAACCACCCGCUCGCAUUUGCUUCUUCCCGGAUAGGAUCACGAAGUGUUGAUGUGAGAUACGAUGAGUUCUCC